rnacentral:rRNA from 1 species
AGUGAACGCUGGCGGUAGGCCUAACACAUGCAAGUCGAACGGCAGCACAGUAAGAGCUUGCUCUUACGGGUGGCGAGUGGCGGACGGGUGAGGAAUACAUCGGAAUCUACUUUUUCGUGGGGGAUAACGUAGGGAAACUUACGCUAAUACCGCAUACGACCUACGGGUGAAAGCAGGGGAUCUUCGGACCUUGCGCGAUUGAAUGAGCCGAUGUCGGAUUAGCUAGUUGGCGGGGUAAAGGCCCACCAAGGCGACGAUCCGUAGCUGGUCUGAGAGGAUGGUCGGCCACACUGGAACGGAGACACGGUCCAGGGUCCUACGGGAGGCAGCAGUGGGGAAUAUUGGACAAUGGGGGCAAGCCUGAUCCAGCCAUACCGCGUGGGUGAAGAAGGCCUUCGGGUUGUAAAGCCCUUUUGUUGGGAAAGAAAAGCAGCAGGUUAAUACCCCGCUGUUCUGACGGUACCCAAAGAAUAAGCACCGGCUAACUUCGUG